CACACAUCUCAACACAUUCAUAUCUUACAAGUAUAGUGCUUCAGUUUAAAUAGGAUGUGCGCUAGAAGUUAUCUCUCCAUUCCCUUAAAAAAAUUAACUAUUUAUUGUGCAUAUUUUUUGUGAACACUAAUCCUGAAGUAAAAACACCUUAAAGGGGACGAUAUAAUGAAACUGUCAAGUGUUUGCCACAGAAAUGUAAUGAGGAAGUUUUUCACACUUCAUCAAACUAUUUAAAUUAUGUCUAUUAAAAGGUAUAUGCAGCAGCUAGUUAUAUAAAAUACUGUAUUGCUAAGUAUUGGCUUGUGUGGGUGUGGCAAAGUAUGUAGUUCACAGGUGGGGCUACACAGCCACAUGAAAUACUCUUCUCCUCACUAAUCUUUGGACUUGAAGACAAGCCUUAUGAAUAUGAUUAUUAUUAUAUGCAACAGCUAUACUCAAAAAUUUGUUAGGAUAUUUAGAAAUAUGAAGAGAUUAUUGACUUAAGUUUAUAAAUUAGUUACAUAAUUAAAAGAAAAACCAUCUUCCUACUGAUAAAUACAGGAAGAGGUUUGGUCAAUGGCCUGUACUCUAUAUCUGAUUUAUGAUCUAAAAUCUAUAACAAUGAUUAGGCAGCAAGUAAAAACACACAGAAUUCAAUACAGUAAUGCAUCUUAAAUUUUAAAACAUUCUAACUGAAACAGCCACUGGCAACGUAAUAUGACCUAAAGUUUACUGUUGAGAAUAUAAACCAUCACACAUGUACAACUUUACAGCAACUCUAGAAUC